rnacentral:misc_RNA from 1 species
AUUUUCCGAUGCUUGAGCAACUAAAACUGUAUGGGUUGCAUAAACUGGAGGAGAUUCCAGAGAGUAUUGGAGAUAUAAUGACACUAAAAUUCAUCGAGAUAAAACGUUGCAGCUCUGGUGUAGAGAAUAGUGCAAAGAGAAUUCAACAAGAGCAAGAGAGCUUGGGAAAUUAUGAGCUUCAGCUUCAAAUUAUUACUGCAAAGAGGGAAUGAAGAAAGCUGGUGAUAAUUAUACUGCUAAUUACAUACUUCCACAUCUUCUCAAUUUAUAUGCAUCGCAAGCCAAAUCACAAGAUUUUGAGAUUUAUGCUCCAAAUGCGACGUUUGAAGAUCCCCUUAUGCGUGCAGAAGGGGUAAAGCAGAUAAAAUCUUCAUUUUAUUCGCUGGGAAAGGUGUUCAGUGAGUCGAGAAUCGUGGAGUAUAACGUCACAGAGAAAGAAAUAUCUCCUGGAAAUACAGAGAUUUUAAUCGACAACAAACAAUAUUACAAGUUCUUGGGGAAAGACAUUCAUAUGAUAUCGCUAAUCAAGUUGUACACGGAAGGAGGAAAGGUCAUUCGUCAUGAAGACUGCUGGGAUAAGAAACCUUUACGGAAUAGGGAGACGGUGAAUGUACCACUUGUUGGGCGCAUGAUUGAGGUAUCUCGUAGAGCUUCGAUGUUUUUAACACAUGCUCUAAUGGGGUUUGGAAAAGAUCCCUCCAUGUAAAUUGCAGUACACUGUUUUUAAGUAUUUCAAUUAGUUUUUACCUAGCUGCAACUUUUGAAACAUGUAAG